UGGGGAAUAUUGCGCAAUGGGGGAAACCCUGACGCAGCGACGCCGUGUGGGGGAAGAAGGCCUUCGGGUCGUAAACCUCUGUCGGGAGGGAAGAACCGCCGGGUUCCGAACAGGGACUCGGCCUGACGGUACCUCCGAAGGAAGCGCCGGCUAACUCCGUGCCAGCAGCCGCGGUAAUACGGAGGGCGCGAGCGUUAAUCGGAAUCACUGGGCGUAAAGCGCGCGUAGGCGGCCAGAUAAGUCGGGCGUGAAAGCCCUCGGCUCAACCGAGGAACUGCGUUCGAUACUGUUUGGCUUGAGUCCUGGAGAGGGUGGCGGAAUUCCGGGUGUAGGAGUGAAAUCCGUAGAUAUCCGGAGGAACACCGGUGGCGAAGGCGGCCACCUGGACAGGUACUGACGCUGAGGUGCGAAAGCGUGGGGAGCAAACA
rnacentral:rRNA from 1 species